rnacentral:misc_RNA from 1 species
AGCCUCGUCACGGUGCUCCUCUCUAAUAGUGAUUUCAGUGUCAGUGUCAGACCCACCUGAAUCCUGAUUUGCUGUCUCAGCAAUUGGUAAACUUUCUUGCAAAUUUUCAUUUAAGGGGGAUACUACGGUCUCAAUAGAAUUUCUCCUUGGAUGAGCUAUUAUACUUUUGCCAUUGGUAGGUGAAGACAAUAAUGCAGACUU